AGGACGAACGCUGGCGGCGUGCUUAACACAUGCAAGUCGAGCGGAAAGGCCCUUUCGGGGGUACUCGAGCGGCGAACGGGUGAGUAACACGUGAGUAACCUGCCCUUAGCUUUGGGAUAACCCUCGGAAACGGGGGCUAAUACCGAAUAUUCACUGAUCGCGGCAUCGUGGUUGGUGGAAAGUUUUUUCGGCUGGGGAUGGGCUCGCGGCCUAUCAGCUUGUUGGUGGGGUGAUGGCCUACCAAGGCGACGACGGGUA
rnacentral:rRNA from 1 species